UCGACUAGACAGUCAUCCAGCACAUUCAGUUUGAUGACUUUUUCUACUUCUCAACCUUCAAGUGCUCUCGCCUCGUGCUUUUUAGGCUAUAUUCUGCUGGGUGCAGACACAUAAUAGAGGACAAGAAGCCACCGUCUACAAACAGAAAGCCGGCGGACCUGGUUGUUGGACACGGGAGGAACACACCACAUAACUUGAACUUGAGACAGGGCAAGCGAGGACACGAGGAGAUGUGGGAGCACAGGGCCUGAGUUGCUGCAGAUCAGAGAGGAUAUGUGGACAUGCCCGGAGCAGCGUGAGAGGGAUCAAGCACCACAAACGCCCGGAGAUUUCGACGCUUUACCCCCCGGAUAGCUGAUGGCUGCGGCGUGUGUGUGCCAGUUCUCCUCAAAGUCUUGUUGGGCUCGUUAUUUUGGAUUGAAACAUUUUCCUGCUCAGACCUCAAAGUCGAGGCGGCGGAAACCUGAGAGGACAAGAGCCGACACCAGCACAGACCUGCAGAGAGGAGUUUGUCCUACAGCAGGCCGAUAUUCAACAACGCCUGAUGAGACGACCUGCAGGAGAAAAACUGUCCUUUGGGGUGAGGUAGUAGGUUGUAUAGUUUUAGGGUCAUUCCCAAGCUGUCAGAUGACUAUACAACUUACUGUCUUUCCUGAAGCGACUGUAAUGGCAUCUUCAUCAGCAUCAUCAUCAUCCUCAUCAUUAAGGGAAAAUAAAACUUCUACACUGUAAACUCCUUUUUUGACAUUUUUCAAGCUUUCAUUUUUUAACUUUUGAAAUUGAAUAUUUUGAAGUGUCCAUUUGUGAUUCUGUUGUAAUUAUAGAAGCUCCAACAACAUGCCCAUUAGCUAGUAUUUGAUAGGUUGUUGUUUUUUUGCUUGUGUUGAGAUGUAACAUGUUAGUCUGAAGUUAUCAUCAAAAACCUGCGAUAGCCACCAACAUGUGAUCCUCCCCCCCCUCUCCACCUGGGUGACAUUAUGGUGUUCGUACAGGGUGAGGUAGUAGGUUGUGUGGUUUCAGGGUUGUGAUUUUACCCCAUCAGGAGCUAACUAUACAACCUACUGCCUUCCCUGGAGGGCAGCAAUACAUCACAGGAGCACACGCCUUUCUCAGCCAUCACUGACAGACUCUCUUGAACUAAGCAGGUCAAAGGACUGAACUUUGAUGUCGAAGGUUUCGUUGGAUGGGUGAGUGGUGCGCAAUUACAAUAUGUAUUUAAAGGCUCAAUAAACUACUAGAAUGACCAGUUAAAUAUCAAUUUAAAAUAGCCAGGUUAGCUCUGGAAAUGUUUUUAUUAUGCUGUUUGACUUUGUUCUGUUUUUUAUGAAGAAAUAAAGACUGGAUGACAAAUUGUGAGAAAAA